GCACCGUAGUUCAGUGGCAAAGCAUCUGCUUUGCAUGCAGAAGGCCCCAGGUUCAAUCCCUGGCAUCUCCA